UUUCAACAUUUGACAUAACCCUGUAUGUUUUGUAGGGACAACCCAGGACGUGUAUUUCUCAGCACCCAGUCAACUGCCAGAAGUGACUCAUACACAGGCCACCAGGUCAACCCAGGACAUGGGUUUCUCAGCACCCAGUCAGAAGUAACUCAACCACAGGCCACCAGUGGCACUCAGCUGUACCACUGCACUGCUGCUGAAAUUGCCAGCACCAGCGGCUUUGUAACAGCUGUUUCACAGCAUCU